AUUGAACGCUGGCGGCAUGCUUUACACAUGCAGGUCGAACGGUAACAGGCCGCAAGGUGCUGACGAGUGGCGAACGGGUGAGUAAUGCAUCGGAACGUGGCCAGUCGUGGGGGAUAACGCAGCGAAAGCUGCGCUAAUACCGCAUACGAUCUAUGGAUGAAAGCGGGGGACCGUAAGGCCUCGCGCGAUUGGAGCGGCCGAUGUCAGAUUAGGUAGUUGGUGGGGUAAAGGCUCACCAAGCCAACGAUCUGUAGCUGGUCUGAGAGGACGACCAGCCACACUGGGACUGAGACACGGCCCAGACUCCUACGGGAGGCAGCAGUGGGGAAUUUUGGACAAUGGGCGCAAGCCUGAUCCAGCAAUGCCGCGUGCAGGAAGAAGGCCUUCGGGUUGUAAACUGCUUUUGUACGGAACGAAACGGUCCUGGUUAAUACCUGGGGCUAAUGACGGUACCGUAAGAAUAAGCACCGGCUAACUACGUGCCAGCCGCCGCCGUAACAC
rnacentral:rRNA from 1 species